rnacentral:rRNA from 1 species
GCGAAUGGUGGAUGCCUUGACUGGUAAAGGCGAUGAAGGACGUACUAGACUGCGAUAAGCUACGGGGAGCUGUCAAGAAGCUUUGAUCCGUAGAUUUCCGAAUGGGGCAACCCAAUGUAUAGAGAUAUACAUUACCUAUAUAGGAGCGAACGAGGGGAAUUGAAACAUCUUAGUACCCUCAGGAAAAGAAAUCAAUAGAGAUUGCGUCAGUAGCGGCGAGCGAAAGCGCAAGAGGGCAAACCCAGUGCUUGCACUGGGGGUUGUAGGACUGCAAUGUGCAAGAGGUAAGUUUAGCAGAACAUUCUGGAAAGUAUAACCAUAGAGGGUGAUAGUCCCGUAUGCGAAAAACAAACCUUAGCUAGCAGUAUCCUGAGUAGGGCGGGACACGAGGAAUCCUGUCUGAAUCCGGGUCGACCACGAUCCAACCCUAAAUACUAAUACCAGAUCGAUAGUGCACAAGUACCGUGAGGGAAAGGUGAAAAGAACUGAGGUGAUCAGAGUGAAAUAGAACCUGAAACCAUUUGCUUACAAUCAUUCAGAGCCCUAUGUAGCAAUACAGGGUGAUGGACUGCCUUUUGCAUAAUGAGCCUGCGAGUUGUGGUGUCUGGCAAGGUUAAGCAAACGCGAAGCCGUAGCGAAAGCGAGUCUGAAUAGGGCGCUUAGUCAGAUGCUGCAGACCCGAAACGAAGUGAUCUAUCCAUGAGCAAGUUGAAGCUAGUGUAAGAACUAGUGGAGGACUGAACCCAUAGGCGUUGAAAAGCCCCGGGAUGACUUGUGGAUAGGGGUGAAAGGCCAAUCAAACUUCGUGAUAGCUGGUUCUCUCCGAAAUAUAUUUAGGUAUAGCGUUGUGUCGUAAUAUAAGGGGGUAGAGCACUGAAUGGGCUAGGGCAUACACCAAUGUACCAAACCCUAUCAAACUCCGAAUACCUUAUAUGUAAUCACAGCAGUCAGGCGGCGAGUGAUAAAAUCCGUCGUCAAGAGGGAAACAACCCAGACUACCAGCUAAGGUCCCUAAAUCUUACUUAAGUGGAAAACGAUGUGAAGUUACUUAAACAACCAGGAGGUUGGCUUAGAAGCAGCCAUCCUUUAAAGAAAGCGUAAUAGCUCACUGGUCUAGUGAUUUUGCGCGGAAAAUAUAACGGGGCUAAAGUAAGUACCGAAGCUGUAGACUUGCACACAACUUAGAUUAUUUAAGUUUAGAAUAUGAGAAACUAAGUUAUAUGUUUAGUUAUAUUUUUACUGAUUUUUAUAGAGUAAAGAUAGAAAUAAAACUUAGUAAAAUCAGUAAAAAUAUUCUUAGACUAAAGUUAAGUAGUUUAAGUUGUGUGCAAGUGGUAGGAGAGCGUUCUAUUUGCGUCGAAGGUAUACCGGUAAGGAGUGCUGGAGCGAAUAGAAGUGAGCAUGCAGGCAUGAGUAGCGAUAAUUAAUGUGAGAAUCAUUAACGCCGUAAACCCAAGGUUUCCUACGCGAUGCUCGUCAUCGUAGGGUUAGUCGGGUCCUAAGUCGAGUCCGAAAGGGGUAGACGAUGGCAAAUUGGUUAAUAUUCCAAUACCAACAUUAGUGUGCGAUGGAAGGACGCUUAGGGCUAAGGGGGCUAGCGGAUGGAAGUGCUAGUCUAAGGUCGUAGGAGGUUGUACAGGCAAAUCCGUAUAACAAUACUCCGAGAACUGAAAGGCUUUUUGAAGUCUUCGGAUGGAUAGAAGAACCCCUGAUGCCGUCGAGCCAAGAAAAGUUUCUAAGUUUAGCUAAUGUUGCCCGUACCGUAAACCGACACAGGUGGGUGGGAUGAGUAUUCUAAGGCGCGUGGAAGAACUCUCUUUAAGGAACUCUGCAAAAUAGCACCGUAUCUUCGGUAUAAGGUGUGGUUAGCUUUGUAUUAGGAUUUACUCCGAAAGCAAGGAAACUUACAACAAAGAGUCCCUCCCGACUGUUUACCAAAAACACAGCACUCUGCUAACUCGUAAGAGGAUGUAUAGGGUGUGACGCCUGCCCGGUGCUCGAAGGUUAAUUGAUGGGGUUAGCAUUAGCGAAGCUCUUGAUCGAAGCCCGAGUAAACGGCGGCCGUAACUAUAACGGUCCUAAGGUAGCGAAAUUCCUUGUCGGUUAAAUACCGACCUGCAUGAAUGGCGUAACGAGAUGGGAGCUGUCUCAAAGAGGGAUCCAGUGAAAUUGUAGUGGAGGUGAAAAUUCCUCCUACCCGCGGCAAGACGGAAAGACCCCGUGGACCUUUACUACAGCUUGACACUGCUACUUGGAUAAGAAUGUGCAGGAUAGGUGGGAGGCUUUGAGUAUAUGACGCCAGUUGUAUAUGAGCCAUUGUUGAGAUACCACUCUUUCUUAUUUGGGUAGCUAACCAGCUUGAGUUAUCCUCAAGUGGGACAAUGUCUGGUGGGUAGUUUGACUGGGGCGGUCGCCUCCCAAAUAAUAACGGAGGCUUACAAAGGUUGGCUCAGAACGGUUGGAAAUCGUUCGUAGAGUAUAAAGGUAUAAGCCAGCUUAACUGCAAGACAUACAAGUCAAGCAGAGACGAAAGUCGGUCUUAGUGAUCCGGUGGUUCUGUGUGGAAGGGCCAUCGCUCAAAGGAUAAAAGGUACCCCGGGGAUAACAGGCUGAUCUCCCCCAAGAGCUCACAUCGACGGGGAGGUUUGGCACCUCGAUGUCGGCUCAUCGCAUCCUGGGGCUGGAGCAGGUCCCAAGGGUAUGGCUGUUCGCCAUUUAAAGCGGUACGCGAGCUGGGUUCAGAACGUCGUGAGACAGUUCGGUCCCUAUCUGCCGUGGGCGUAAGAAGAUUGAAGAGAUUUGACCCUAGUACGAGAGGACCGGGUUGAACAAACCACUGGUGUAGCUGUUGUUCUGCCAAGAGCAUCGCAGCGUAGCUAAGUUUGGAAAGGAUAAACGCUGAAAGCAUCUAAGCGUGAAGCCAACUCUAAGAUGAAUCUUCUCUAAGCUCUCUAGAAGACUACUAGUUUGAUAGGCUGGGUGUGUAAUGGAUGAAAGUCCUUUAGCUGACCAGUACUAAUAGAGCGUUUGGCUUAUCUUU